AUGGGAGCUUCGGGGGAAAAAUACUGUUGGCUGGGUGAGUGUCCAGUGAUCCAGAGCAGUGAAGGCAGGGGGCAGGCAGGUGAUGUGAGAUCCAGAGAACCGGAAGCAGAGGUACCCAACGUCCAGUUAGAGGUGCAAGCUGUUGGUGGUGGGCAUGAUGGAAUCCAGGAACUACCGAGGGCACAAGGAAGAAGAGACAGUCAGUGGAGCAUCGGCACGGCAUCAGAGCGGCACAGGACUGACGGAGGAGGACGAAGUCGACAAAUGCUGACAGAAAACAAUUAAGAACAUUUACGGCAGAACAUCAAUUGUAAUACAGUUCAAAGCAGAGCAGAAGCAACAGAUUGCCCUCACUUGUAAUUGCUGCUACAACUGAUGUUCUGGGCGUGGAAAUGAAGCAGACUGGGAACAGCUCCUGGCAUCUCGUGGUCAGUUUCUCUGUCUGAAAGAAAUGCUUUCGCUCUGUACAAAGAGGAAGGAAUUAACAGUGCUGAGCGACAGGAACCAAAAGCUUUGAUUCAGUCGUAAAGCAACACGUUGCUGGGCGUCAGCAUCACCUCCACCAUCAGUAUCUCCUCACAUCCACAUCUUCCUUUCUACACCGGGAUCUAAAGAAGAAAUUCGAGCUUUGAAUGCACAAACAGGAGGAUGUUAGCCUGGCAUGCAGAGUGCAGAGUUUAGGGAGUUUUGCUGUGAAUCAAGGAGCAAGAUCUCAUUUUAACGGUGCAGGUGAGAUCCGGUGCCGUCAGUAGGUCCACCUGACUCUCAUUUUGACUUCUGACGACAUGAGAGACAUGAAAAGGACAAUGCACAUGAGGAUCAACAAACCAGAAGCCAAUAACUAGAGGAGAGAUGACAGGAAAAGAGAGACCUAACCUUCUUUGAAACUAUUUACCUGAUCAAAAGUGAGCAACCUUGAAGUAUAUCUUUCAAGUUUUCAGAUUUCUAUGAUGUUUUUGCACCAGGGGACAUUAAUUUCACGUACAGAGAAAGACGAACAGCAAAAACUUUCUUUCAUGUCAACUUGUGCCACCACUCAGUGCAAGUAACUUUCUGCACCGAUUCAAGUCGGUGUGAGCGCCUUGGGGCUCUCAUUUGACUGUUCUUUUUGGAGUGAAGUGGAUCUGCCGUGGGGGGCAGCUGACAACCAUCCAAGACGCCGCGAGCCGUACUCCGCGUGAAAAAUGCCCAGCCGCGCUUGGCCAAGCCGGCCGACCCGG
rnacentral:lncRNA from 1 species